rnacentral:rRNA from 1 species
UACGUAGGCAGCGAGCGUUGUUCGGAGUUACUGGGCGUAAAGGGUGUGUAGGCGGUUCUUUAAGUUUGGUGUGAAAUCUCCCGGCUCAACCGGGAGGGUGCGCCGAAUACUGAGGGACUUGGAGUAUGGGAUGGGAAAGUGGAAUUCCUGGUGUAGCGGUGAAAUGCGUAGAUAGUCAGGAGGAACACCCUGUGGUGCUAGACGGCUUUCUGGACCAUAACUGACGCUGAGACACGAAAGCGUGGGUAGCAAACAGG